rnacentral:rRNA from 1 species
GACUAAGCGUACACGGUGGAUGCCCUGGCAGUCAGAGGCGAUGAAGGACGUGCUAAUCUGCGAUAAGCGCCGGUAAGGUGAUAUGAACCGUUAUAACCGGCGAUUUCCGAAUGGGGAAACCCAGUGUGAUUCGUCACACUAUCAUUAACUGAAUCCAUAGGUUAAUGAGGCGAACCGGGGGAACUGAAACAUCUAAGUACCCCGAGGAAAAGAAAUCAACCGAGAUUCCCCCAGUAGCGGCGAGCGAACGGGGAGGAGCCCAGAGCCUGAAUCAGCAUGUGUGUUAGUGGAAGCGUCUGGAAAGGCGCGCGAUACAGGGUGACAGCCCCGUACACAAAAGCGCAUGUGCUGUGAGCUCGAUGAGUAGGGCGGGACACGUGGUAUCCUGUCUGAAUAUGGGGGGACCAUCCUCCAAGGCUAAAUACUCCUGACUGACCGAUAGUGAACCAGUACCGUGAGGGAAAGGCGAAAAGAACCCCGGCGAGGGGAGUGAAAAAGAACCUGAAACCGUGUACGUACAAGCAGUGGGAGCACCCUUCGGGGUGUGACUGCGUACCUUUUGUAUAAUGGGUCAGCGACUUAUAUUCUGUAGCAAGGUUAACCGUAUAGGGGAGCCGGAGGGAAACCGAGUCUUAAUUGGGCGUUAAGUUGCAGGGUAUAGACCCGAAACCCGGUGAUCUAGCCAUGGGCAGGUUGAAGGUUGGGUAACACUAACUGGAGGACCGAACCGACUAAUGUUGAAAAAUUAGCGGAUGACCUGUGGCUGGGGGUGAAAGGCCAAUCAAACCGGGAGAUAGCUGGUUCUCCCCGAAAGCUAUUUAGGUAGCGCCUCGUGAAUUCAUCUCCGGGGGUAGAGCACUGUUUCGGCUAGGGGGCCAUCCCGGCUUACCAACCCGAUGCAAACUGCGAAUACCGGAGAAUGUUAUCACGGGAGACACACGGCGGGUGCUAACGUCCGUCGUGAAGAGGGAAACAACCCAGACCGCCAGCUAAGGUCCCAAAGUCAUGGUUAAGUGGGAAACGAUGUGGGAAGGCCCAGACAGCCAGGAUGUUGGCUUAGAAGCAGCCAUCAUUUAAAGAAAGCGUAAUAGCUCACUGGUCGAGUCGGCCUGCGCGGAAGAUGUAACGGGGCUAAACCAUGCACCGAAGCUGCGGCAGCGAACGUAUCACCCAAGACAACUUUACGGAGUUGACGAUUGACGGAGCGAAGCGACGUCAAAGCGUUCAUUAAAGUCGAGUUGGCUUAGGGAUACGUUCGUUGGGUAGGGGAGCGUUCUGUAAGCCUGUGAAGGUGUGUCGUGAGGCAUGCUGGAGGUAUCAGAAGUGCGAAUGCUGACAUAAGUAACGAUAAAGCGGGUGAAAAGCCCGCUCGCCGGAAGACCAAGGGUUCCUGUCCAACGUUAAUCGGGGCAGGGUGAGUCGACCCCUAAGGCGAGGCCGAAAGGCGUAGUCGAUGGGAAACGGGUUAAUAUUCCCGUACUUGGUGUUACUGCGAAGGGGGGACGGAGAAGGCUAUGUUGGCCGGGCGACGGUUGUCCCGGUUUAAGCGUGUAGGUGUGUGUUCCAGGUAAAUCCGGUUCACUUUAACACUGAGGCGUGACGACGAGGCACUACGGUGCUGAAGCAACAAAUGCCCUGCUUCCAGGAAAAGCCUCUAAGCAUCAGGUAACAUCAAAUCGUACCCCAAACCGACACAGGUGGUCAGGUAGAGAAUACCAAGGCGCUUGAGAGAACUCGGGUGAAGGAACUAGGCAAAAUGGUGCCGUAACUUCGGGAGAAGGCACGCUGACACGUAGGUGAAGUGAUUUACUCAUGGAGCUGAAGUCAGUCGAAGAUACCAGCUGGCUGCAACUGUUUAUUAAAAACACAGCACUGUGCAAACACGAAAGUGGACGUAUACGGUGUGACGCCUGCCCGGUGCCGGAAGGUUAAUUGAUGGGGUCAGCGCAAGCGAAGCUCCUGAUCGAAGCCCCGGUAAACGGCGGCCGUAACUAUAACGGUCCUAAGGUAGCGAAAUUCCUUGUCGGGUAAGUUCCGACCUGCACGAAUGGCGUAAUGAUGGCCAGGCUGUCUCCACCCGAGACUCAGUGAAAUUGAACUCGCUGUGAAGAUGCAGUGUACCCGCGGCAAGACGGAAAGACCCCGUGAACCUUUACUAUAGCUUGACACUGAACAUUGAGCCUUGAUGUGUAGGAUAGGUGGGAGGCUUUGAAGUGUGGACGCCAGUCUGCAUGGAGCCGACCUUGAAAUACCACCCUUUAAUGUUUGAUGUUCUAACGUGGACCCGUAAUCCGGGUUGCGGACAGUGUCUGGUGGGUAGUUUGACUGGGGCGGUCUCCUCCUAAAGAGUAACGGAGGAGCACGAAGGUUGGCUAAUCCUGGUCGGACAUCAGGAGGUUAGUGCAAUGGCAUAAGCCAGCUUGACUGCGAGCGUGACGGCGCGAGCAGGUGCGAAAGCAGGUCAUAGUGAUCCGGUGGUUCUGAAUGGAAGGGCCAUCGCUCAACGGAUAAAAGGUACUCCGGGGAUAACAGGCUGAUACCGCCCAAGAGUUCAUAUCGACGGCGGUGUUUGGCACCUCGAUGUCGGCUCAUCACAUCCUGGGGCUGAAGUAGGUCCCAAGGGUAUGGCUGUUCGCCAUUUAAAGUGGUACGCGAGCUGGGUUUAGAACGUCGUGAGACAGUUCGGUCCCUAUCUGCCGUGGGCGCUGGAAGAACUGAGGGGGGCUGCUCCUAGUACGAGAGGACCGGAGUGGACGCAUCACUGGUGUUCGGGUUGUCAUGCCAAUGGCACUGCCCGGUAGCUAAAUGCGGAAGAGAUAAGUGCUGAAAGCAUCUAAGCACGAAACUUGCCCCGAGAUGAGUUCUCCCUGAGACUUAGAGUCUCCUGAAGGAACGUUGAAGACGACGACGUUGAUAGGCCGGGUGUGUAAGCGCAGCGAUGCGUUGAGCUAACCGGUACUAAUGAACCGUGAGGCUUAACCUUACAACGCCGAAGAUGUUUUGGCGGUUAAGAGAAG